AUUGAACGCUGGCGGCAGGCCUAACACAUGCAAGUCGAACGAGUGGCGGACGGGUGAGUAAUGUCUGGGAACCGGCCUGAUGGAGGGGGAUAACUACUGGAAACGGGAGCUAAUACCGCAUACCAUCGGAUGUGCCCAGAUGGGCUUAGCUAGUAGGUGGGGUAAAGGCGCACCUAGGCGACGAUGCCUAGCUGGUCUGAGAGGAUGACCAGCAACACUGGAAAUGAGACACGGGCCAGACUCCUACGGGAGGCACCAGUGGGGAAUAUUGCACAAUGGGCGCAAGCCUGAUGCAGCCAUGCCGCGUGUAUGAAGAAGGCCUUCGGGUUGUAAAGUACUUUCAGCGGGGAGGCGUUACCUGCAGAAGAAGCACCGGCUAACUCCGUGCCAGCAGCCGCGGUAAUAC
rnacentral:rRNA from 1 species